AUACACUCGUGUGACAUCUAUGGUGCCCUGAGUCGGGUUUAACCUGGCUGAAACAACCUCCGCGCGGAAGAGGCCAAGCACAGCAGGAGCCCAGCUCAGCGAAGCUCCAGCGCUAGAAGCGGAAGGCAAAGAAACCCAGCGCAGGGGAAGGCCCAUCGUGCUGGAAACCCGGACAGCGAAAAACGAACUCAGCAGAAAGCUCAUGCGGCCCAGUCUCAGAUUCCAGAAGACCUCCAGUUAAGGUCAUCCAGAGGACCCAAGACAUGGUGGUUACUAGUAGACUUCCCACAGUAGUUCUUCAUUCCAUGUGGACUCCUUCAAGGGCAGUGAGCAUCACAGCUUCCCUUGAACUUCGUCUGGAAAAACAAAUGCUGUUCAAGGACACUGAAAGAACCCUGAUGUUGAAAAUCAGAUCUGUAUUGUGAGCAAUGCUUAGAAAUCCGUGAGUUGAAGCAUAGUAUUAUGCCUAUCAUCCUUGUAUUUCCCUCAGUGAAAUAUUUUGAGAAAAGCUCUUCAUUCAUGUUGUAGGUUCAUGAAGAAGCUAAAUAGCAUUAAUCCUUUACAUUUACAACUGUGAAUGUAAAUCUCCUGUGAAUCCUAUGUGACAACCGCACAUACCAACAUGAUUUAUUAGUAUUAAUAUUUUUAGUCCUAUUGUAUGUCAACUAAAAAAAUCUGUAUGUAAUUGUACAUGAAGUCAAAACAUUAAAUCAGUGCAAAUACAAAAUAUUCCAUCCUUUGAGAAAGGGAGCAAAAAAUCUAUGUGCUUUGCCUAUUGCAUUUUUAUGUAUUAGAUCCUUAAGUAUUUUAUUCACCACACCCAACUGAAUGAUUCACAAAUCUUCAGAGAAGAAAGGAUCACUUCUCUUUAACAAUGAGUAGUUUGACUCAUCUCAAAGCAAAGUCCUAAGUGAGUCUAAUUUUGUGUGAGACCAUGAAAACUCAGUGUUUUUAUUAUGCUUGUGCUUAUGAUGGGAGGUCUGAGAAGGCACUUCUGAAGGUUUCUUCAUACCAGUCGUUCUCAUAUUUAUCGAGUCUUUAAAGGUUGACUUACUGAGGUGUUACUUCUACACUUGUACUGGGCUGAGUAGCAACAUGCCCUUUCUCCCUAAGUGCAGUACAAGUCUUUCUAACCUGUUUGUCUUCUGUCCUCUGGAGCAUGUAUCGCUUGAACUCACCACAGCCUAGUAGAUGGAAAUCGUCAGGAUAUUCUGGAAACCCUUUUUAUUGCAGUCUGUUCAGGAGGUUACGACUGCUGCAGAUACACAUAUCGGCCUUCGGUUCUAUCACUAGUAUUGCAAGUAAAAAAAAUUAAUUAGAG
ensembl:lncRNA